UACGUAGGGGGCAAGCGUUGUCCGGAUUUAUUGGGCGUAAAGAGGCGUGUAGGCGGCCAAGCAGGUCUGCUGUGAAAACUUGACGGCUCAACCUCAAGCUGUCGGCGGAAACCGUUUGGCUAGAGUCCGGAAGAGGAGAGUGGAAUUCCUGGUGAGGCGGUGAAAUGGCGCGAUAUCAAGGAAGAACACCCGUAGGCGAAGG
rnacentral:rRNA from 1 species